AGGGUGUAAACGCUGCAGACUUGGUGUUGGGAACCCUUCGGGGGUGCUCAGUGCCGGAGAGAAGUUGUUAAGUCUGCUACUUGGGGAGUACGUCCGCAAGGAUGAAACUUAAAGGAAUUGGCGGGGGAGCACCGCAACGGGAGGAGCGUGCGGUUUAAUUGGAUUCAACGCCGAAAAACUCACCAGCAGCGACUGUUACAUGAAAGCCGAGAUGAAGACUCUGCUAGAUUUUCAGAGAGGAGGUGCAUGGCGUCAGUGACU
rnacentral:rRNA from 1 species